rnacentral:rRNA from 1 species
GAUGAACGCUGGCGGUAUGCUUAACACAUGCAAGUCGAACGCACCUUUCGGGGUGAGUGGCGGACGGGUGAGUAACGCGUGAGAAUCUGGCUUCAGGUCUGGGACAACCACUGGAAACGGUGGCUAAUACCGGAUGUGCCGUUGGGUGAAAGGUUAACUGCCUGAAGAUGAGCUCGCGUCUGAUUAGCUAGUAGGUGUGGUAAGAGCGCACCUAGGCGACGAUCAGUAGCUGGUCUGAGAGGAUGAUCAGCCACACUGGGACUGAGACACGGCCCAGACUCCUACGGGAGGCAGCAGUGGGGAAUUUUCCGCAAUGG